UACGAAGGACCCAAGCGUUAUCCGGAUUUAUUGGGUUUAAAGGGUGCGUAGGCGGGUUAUUAAGUCAGUGGUGGAAGCCUGCAGCUUAACUGCAGAAUUGCCAUUGAUACUGAUGAUCUUGAGUAUGAUUGAGGUGGGCGGAAUGUGUCAUGUAGCGGUGAAAUGCUUAGAUAUGACACAGAACACCGAUUGCGAAGGCAGCUCACUAAGCCAUAACUGACGCUGAUGCACGAAAGCGUGGGGAGCAAACAGG
rnacentral:rRNA from 1 species